rnacentral:sRNA from 1 species
GCCCUCAAGGCUUAAUUAGCGACUGAUGGGGGAGGGUCCGGCCCAUUGUGGGUGGAGCCACCACUGCACUGUGGGUCCUGGGCAAGUCCUGGGGAGCAGCACCCCUCCAUGACACCUUCCUCCAUGUUCCAGCUCCGAUUUAGUUCUGAUUCCGACUUCCUUCAGUGAUUUGAAAGUGUAAGCCGAAUCAACCCUUUCCCCCACAAUUGGGGGUGAUUCAUCCCAGCAAUAGUAACUCUAACCAAGGCAUAUGCUUACUAAAAAAAAAAAAUGUUAGAAGGAAGCGUGGUGGUGCACUUCUCCAAUCCUAAACUCGGGAGGUAAACCAGAAGUUCACGGUCAUCCUCAGAAACAUAAGGGGUGCUAGAGUCAUUCUGUGCUACGUAAGAUCCUGUCUUGAAUGAAUGAAUGAAGGAUGAAUGAAUGAGAGAGCAGAGAUAAAAGGACAAGCCAACAACUCUAGGGGCCCAACAGGCCAUGCUGGCCUCAGCUCCAAGUUUUGAAGCCCUCGUUGAAGGCACUUGGGUCCUAUCUCUUGGAGGAAACACUCUGUUAGAGUGGGGUAUGCAGGACUCCAUCUUGGACUCCUCUCUCGGGACAUGGGCAAAAUUCGGGAAGCACAUGUCUGUUCUCUUGAUGGCAACUCUGAAAUCCACAUUGAGGUGCCAGGGUUACAUCGAGACUCUUCCUAUGUUAGGAACGAUCCCUAGUGUGGAGAGGAAGGAAGGAUAGCUCUUCUAACUCAGAUAGAUGGUCAGGGAAUUCUGCUUGAGAGAUGGGGAAUGUGAGGGUAGGGGCGGGGCACGGAGCUUCGUACGAUAGGCCCAGACUUGGAACCGGAACGUGAAACAGGGAUCUUGGAAAGAUGUGGUAAACACCCAAUUCCUGUGGUCUAGAAUCUAGCAAUCCGGGGCUGUGCUGGCUGGAAUCCCACCAGCAAAGGCCUUUAACAAAGAAGCUCGACUUCGCCAACGUCCCUCUCAAAGAAACAAACCUACACACUAGACGGAGAUUCACCAACACUUUCUAUUGUUAUAGUAUUUCAAAACUUAAAAGGAAAAAAAAAAAGAGUCAAGGCACCUUCCUCACCUGAUCUCCAAACUCCUUGUUUCAUAGUAUGAAAGACACACAACCCCACCCCCCACUCAUAUACACAGGGCCAGAGAUCUCUUUUUAAUGAAAAUGUCAGCGGUGUGGUUUAAAGCUAGAUCUUCAGAAUCAAAGGCCUGUAUUCACCCUACAGUGCUUUGAAUGAGAAUGGCUCCUACAGGCUCAUGUAUUCACAUGCUUAGUCUCCUAUGGCCUUGCUGGAGGUCAUGUUACCGGGUGUGGGCGUUAAGGUUUCAAAAGCCCACAGUAGGCCCAGUCUCUCUGCCUGCUGCCUGCAGAUCAUGAUAUAAAUCUCUUAGCUACUGCUCUAGCACCGUGCCUCUCUGCCUCUUGCCGAGAUGACUGUGGACUGUAAGCAAGGCCCCCAGUUAAAUGCUUUCUGUGAUAAGAUUUGUCUUGGUCAUGAUGCCUCUUCACAGCAACAGAGCAGUGACUAAGAUACCAUGGUUAAAAAAAAAAAGAGUAUCAAUUUUGUUUUCAACACCAGCAGCGUAGGACGAUGUCCCAGUGUAUUGUCUGUACCCUCUCAACAGCCACACGCUUCUUCAAGCACAGGCCAGAUAACCUUGCCCUUUCAGACUCCCAAUCAUUCCUUCCCUUACCCACUCCAUCAAAUCCACUGACAAACACUAUGGGGCGCCCUCUGUGUAGGCUCACACUGUCCAUCUUCAUCCUCAGUGCUAACGCCCCCGGACAAGCCUUAGAGUCCCCUCCCUUCUUGUUGCUUUCUUCUCUAGUCAGCUUUCCCUGAGAAUAUGACCCUCAACUUAGCAACAUUCAAAAUUCCAAAGUGACCUUCCUGGUCAGGACCCCCAGCUCUGCUCUCAUCUGACCCUGAUGUUUUCGAGGGUCAGAUGCAGGCUUUGGCACAGCAUGGAUAUCCUUCAGGCCUCCUCUACCCAUCUCCUCCCUUUUCUCCUCAGUCUCUUCCAGUGGGGAUGACUCCAGAUGCUGCUUUUCCCAGGCACAAAAUUCCACCUCGUGCUGCAAGAACAAGAGCCUCAACCCAUCAUCUGUUGACUUCUCGAGACGACCUAAUGUGCUCCCAGGAUGCUCCACUGCUCUCCCUUGGUUACUGUUAUCAGUUUUACUAGGGACUGAAACCGAGGAAUGGUGCAGGCCAGCACGCGUUCUACCAAGGAGCUACUCUCUGAGCCUCUGCUCACACUUUCCACAGACCCAGUCUUGCCUAUUUGUCUGCACCCUCUCCCUUAUCUUGGCCCAGUAACUAUUUGCUUAGUAGGUCAGAAUACGGUUCAAAGUUUUAAAAGCAGGUAACAAAUCAUUUGGAGUCAGUUAUCAGGUAGGGAGGUAGAGGCAGGAGGGUCAGAAGUUAAAGAGAUGCCUUAUAUAUAAUUUGAGACUGGCUUGGGCUAUGAGAUCCUGUCUAGGAAAAGACAAGAUUCCGUACCAGUUCAGUUUCGGCUGAAGUAUGCUUGCCACAGGAGAAUCGGUUCAGCCCAGUAUAAAGCAUGUAUGCUGGUAGGCUUAGCCAGCCUUGAGUUUCCCACAGGAAUCUAAGCAUCCCAGGAUCAUUAAAUGAUGGGUUAGGUAUAGAAGUGGACCCCGACUGAAAACGGCAGUCAGACACAAAACUCAGAAGAUCUUGUAACAAAAACAGAAAGAUCCAAAUAAAAACCAUCUCACUGGCAGCUACCGCCUUGAUGCUUUACUGCUCAUUUUUCUAUUACAAACUAAAGAUAUAAAUUAAAAAGGCAAUUCUGAAAGGGAGCUGAGAUAGGAAGCUGGAUGUUCUGUAAGGAGAGGGAAUUAGCUAUGUGGCGGACAGAAAGCUGAGUGUAGAAUGUGGCUGAGUACCCAGGAGGGCAAGGAGACGUCAGUUUACUUGGUGGCAACAUUGAGCGUCCACUCUAAGUGCCUAGAGUACUCAUAUAUUAAGAGUACUAUACAUUGGACGACCCUCCUAUGCUAGGUGCUUAAUCUAAGGAUAAAGGAUGUCCUGACCAGGGAAGACUGCCUGGGAGACAGGCAUGGGACUGUGGGGACCUGAGACAAACAAUAGGGAUAACCUUAGCCAUUUGUUAAACAACAAACAUGGGAAGAAAAAAAUGGGUGGAAAAAGAAGGGAGGUUGUUUAAAGACAUCACACAGCUUAUGAAUCUUGUGUUCUAUUUCUAUGGCAAUAGGUUAGCAAGUCAGGCUGUUGCUAAGGGAGACGGCAGCUGCAUUUCAAAGCAAUGAUGGGAAUACAUGUAGAAUCAUUCUUUUUUGUUGUCUGUCCAGAAAAUAUAAACUGGUCCUGGGAAGAGAACUGGCAGGGAGAAUAGGAGUGACAGGGGCAAACAACAGAUCCCUGAUCUUCCAAACAGACCUGGAUUCUUCCACAACAGAUCCAGAUUCUCCCAUAACAGGUCUGUGAUCUCCCAUAACAGAUCCCUGAUCUCCCACAACAGAUCCCUGCAUAUCCCUGGCACCCUAUAGCCCACCCCUCCAGUCUUGCUUAUAGUAUGAGCACUAUCAUACUAUAUAUUUUAAUUAUUUGUGUUAUUGUCUGUUUCUUCUUGAAACACUGGCUCUACUGGGAUCUACUUCUGUUUCAGAUUCUCCUGAUUCUGUAGAAUUGACUGUAUAUAGCAAGUGAUCAAUAUUUUCUGAAUGGAUUAGUUGGAAUCCACUUGGUCCCGACAAUGUAGAUGAAGAUGAUUUCGACUAAAAAUUUUCCAAGUAAAGAGCAGCCUUAGGGUAUGGGGGUGGGAGAGGCUUUGGCUGACAUAGCAAAACCUCCUUCAAAAACAGCUGCUGCAGCUUCCUCCCAAAGGGAGCAUUAAGUAUUCCAAGGUAGACAAGAAACUGUUUGUCGUUAUGUUCUGUCCUCGAAGUCCUAACCCUUCCAGUGGGUUGGCCUGAAGGUGCUUUUAAAGCUAAUACUGCUUCCUCAAGCCCUGGUUGCCCCAGAGACAGAGUCUGCACAUAGAUCCAAGUGAUACUAUGUAACCUUGCCCCCAAGUUGUUUCUACAAGGCAAAUAAAGAGGCUGGCAGCAAAUAGUUGGGCAGCAGAGACAUAGGCAGGGUUUGAGAUUCCCAGGCUGGAGGUCAGAAGAGUGACAAGGGGGAGAAGACGGUGAAGGGGGAGAAAAGAGACACCAUGGUUUGGAGUCAAGAGAACAUGGCCCUGAGGGCUGGCCAACUGGAAUUAAAAGCAGCUCAGUUAAAACGCAGUGAAUAAUAACUCAGGGUUACAGAUAGGAAAAUAAACUCUAACAACAGAGGAUAAAUCCGCCCAGCUCUUACGCUGUUUAAAUAAUAAGAGUCGUGUGUCUUUUAUCGGGAAAUGAGUGAUCAAAGGUGGGGUAGACAUUCUACAAUGAUGUCCAUCAGUAAUUAACUCUAGCUGGCUUGAAGCCACUUCUGGGUAUUUUAUUCUCCUCCAUUGAUUAACAUUAAAGUUUCACGUCCUCUCUUGUCUACUUUUCCUCUGUCAGUCAAUGUGCAGGCCCCUAAGUACAGAACCUAAAUUGGGAGAGGGUAAGAGAUCAGCAAAACAAAUAUACAGCGAGUGGAAGUUGAUCUUACACAGCACCUCAGCAACACUGAGGGACAUUUUUGUUUUCAGAUACCUAACUGUCGCGUUUCAGAUAGGUACAAAAUUAGAAAUAGGGUCUUAAAGAAAACAAGCAGUUUGUCACUCGGUCAUUGCAAAUCAAUUCAGAGUCUCUGUUUAAAAGUGUUUUCGAGGCAGGUCAACAGACAGAGGAAUGGUAAGGUCUUUCAUCACCAUGCAGGUGUCUGAGUCAAAGGAAAGUGUUCUUUCUAUAGAACCUGUGCCCACUCCACCCACAAGGGGCCAACUUUCUCUUCCUGUUCACUGGGGACAAUGUAGAGACAAGUCCACAAAGCACGCUGCAGUGAUGCCUCAGGCCUGUGCCAGUUAAUACACAAAAGAGAGCUACAAAGACGAGUGUGUGUGUGUGUGUGUGUGUGUGUGUGUGUGUGUGUGAGAGAGAGAGAGAGAGAGAGAGAGAGAGAGAGAGAGAGAGAGAGAGAGAGAGAUGCUAUGCUAGCUGUUAACAGUCCACGGCACACCGCUGAAUGACAGACAAUAGAGUGGGCAAAGUCAGGAGUGAAAGGGUAAAAACGGUAUGAAAGCAGAGAACAUGAGAAACAGGAGAGGUUAAAAAUAACUUAAAUAGAAACAUGGCACCUGAGAUCUCAAAAAGCAGCAGAUAUGGUCCCCCAGUAUGACAGCUGCCACACUUGUCAAGUCUAGCCACUGGGAAGCCUAGCACACAGGAAGGACGUGGCACCGCUGGACCACAGGGCAGAACGGGAAGGCAUACAGGAGCGAGAGAGUAGGACACUGGGCUUGACCCCCUCAUUGUGGUUUGAACAUGAAAUCACCCCCACGAGCUCGUACAUUUGAACACUCUGUCCCUAAUUCAUAGCAUUGUUUUUGUAAGAUUGUGGAACCUUUAAUAACCUGUGGGAGGAAGCAGGUCAUGGCUGCAGGCCUGGAGGUGUACUAGCCCAUCAUCACUUCCUGUCUACUCUCUGCCCCUUGCUCCCACGGUCAUGUCUUCCUCGCCAUGGUGGACUGCAUUCCGUAUAACUGUACACCCAAACAAGCCCUCCUUCCUUUAAGCUUCUUGUCACAUCUUUGAGCACAGCAAUGAGAAACACUGCUAGUGCACUCCUUCAAGGAGCUGUAAAAGCAUAAUAACCUGGCAGGCUCCGUGGUUAAAUGUGAACUGGAGGUCUCCAACGAGGUUGAGAGGCAAGGCUGAGUGGCUGGGCCGGGGCUUCUCUCCCACUGGAUUCUCGGGUUGGAGCUUGCUUGCACUCUCAAAAAUGCACUGGAGCAAGAAGUACAGGGGGGACUACAGGUAGUAAGUAUUCAAACCUUCAUGGCCAGCUAUACUCAACUUCCUGAAGACCUCACUGUAAACCAGUACAUGAAAUUACCAAGAAUAUGGGCUCAUAACCUUCCCAUGAAAACACAGCCUUGAGUCGAAGCGCAUGGCCCUGAGGCAAAAGGAAGUGUUGCUGUAUCAAGGCAGGAAGGUCCUCUGAGACAUGACUUAGUGCUGUCUUUGAAAUAACCCUGGAAAGUUCCUAUGAAUUGGGAAAAUUAUUUAAAAACUUGAAGCAGAGAGAAGACAAUCGAGAUCCUCUUGUUCAAUUCUAAGGGACGAAAUUAUCUUAGACAAGAAGGAGUAUAAAAGCUAAAGCUGUUUUCCUGGCAAAAUUAGAACCUUUACCUUAUCCAGGGCUCUAGUCUCCAGUUCAGAGAUCUCAGAGGGUUAGAUCUGACUGAGCAGGAGAGGCCCGGGCAUGAGUCAAAGGAGGCUGUACCCGCCAUUACUGCACACCACUCAUUACUGGCACCAGAAGAAUUCUAACUCCAGCUUCGAGGAAGUUUUUCAAGUGCCAGGAAAUCUAGGGUUGGCUAAGAACUUGGAGCUUACGGAAACCACAUUAACAUUAUCCGUUGAACACUGACAGCAUCCCAAUUGAAGAGAGAAGCAAGAAUUCGGGAGCAUCUCCUGGUCAGCCGUCUUUCCCAGUGUUCUCACUUUGUUGGGUGAAGGGACCCAGAGGCUUCACAAAUUGAGGAGGAAGCCGGGCAAAGGUGGCCGUCUUUGAAGUCACAGAGCAGAACUCAAGUUUCCCAAGAGGUGAACCAUCGAUCACCAGAUGGAGGCACGACAUCUACACGCUGUGAGUCACAAGAACUGUAAGGAAGGGCUGCCGGGCCUAAUUAACAAGGGCUAAUUCAUUGUAUAACAGAUCUGAUGAGGCAAAAUGCAUAGCAACUACAGCGAAUGGACUGUUGAAGAAGGCAGCAGUAAGGAGUUGCCUUGCUAAACGAGCGGUUUAGGGACUGAAUAUUAAGAGUGCAAACCUUUGCGAACGUAUCGAUUGGAAAGGCAUGAGUCGGCCGCUUAAUCUCGCUUGCCUCUAUUCGAUCACUCAUGAGGUAACAGGCAGCUCCACCAGGGAAACUAAAAUUAUCUGUGACUCACUGCUCUGCCAGUUCAUGCCCUAACACAGCCAGCUACAACCCUUGCAAAAGCAACAGGAUGUUGCACAAGCGGCGGACAGAAGUCUGCUGUCUCCCAUCUCCACCAUGUGGGGGUAGCAAACAGUAGGAAACAGAAUCCAGUUUAAACGCUGAGUGAGUCUAGAAGCCCAGGCUUCCAGAUGACAAAAGUUUCAAACACUUAACCGUUGACAAUGGAUUCUGACCGGUAACCUUCCUUUUCAUUCCCAGGAGAGAGCUUCUUUUUUUUUUUUUUUUUUUUUUUUUACCCUGAGCCACUGGCGUUAUGACAAGGUUUUGGAACUGAACUGGUUUGUCACUGUGACCUCACACACAUAAUUGCUUCAACAGUGACCUUGGGGGAGAUUUUAAUGAGUUUCUUAUUCGUAUGGAGUUCCAGGUCCAGGGUGUAGCCUGGGAGAUGUCCUGCAUAGUUUGGGUCUACAGAUUCUUAGUUCCUGGUAACAUAAAGGUCAGGAAGCCAUCUUACAGCCUUCACUAAAAGGUCAGUCAGCAGGAGAGGACCUCUACACGGCUCCCUGUUAGCCACGGUUCACAUUUACCCCAGAGUCAUAAGCAUGGGGUCAGUUCAGGGAUCCAUGAUGGUGAGGUACUGCUCACAACAGGCAGAGGCUGAAGGCUGAGCCUUUACAACGCAGAAGGAUUCCUGAAAUGUUUUUCAAACGUGAAUGAUGGACUUAAUUUAAUAAAAUAUGCUAAGAGGAUCUCA